AAGAACCCCGGCGAGGGGAGUGAAAAAGAACCUGAAACCGUGUACGUACAAGCAGUGGGAGCCCCACCACUAAGCCAGUGGUGAACUCCACAUCCGCAUCCUUUGCUGAGGAUACGGUUAACGGAGCGAAAGCGACGUUCAACCGCAAAACAAGCAGAGGGGGCUUAGUGGUGGGGUGACUGCGUACCUUUUGUAUAAUGGGUCAGCGACUUAUAUUCUGUAGCAAGGUUAACCGUA
rnacentral:rRNA from 1 species